GACGAACGCUGGCGGCGCGCUUAACACAUGCAAGUCGAGCGAAGCGGCGGACGGGUGAGUAACACGUGAGUAACCUGCCUUAGACAUUGGGAUAGCCUCGGGAAACCGGGAUUAAUACCAAAUGGUCUAAGAUGGACUCGGGUGCCAUUAGCUAGUUGGUGAGGGAACGGCCCACCAAGGCGACGAUGGGUAGCCUGCCUGGGAGCGUGAACGGACACAUUGGAACUGGGAAACGUUCCAAACUCUACGGGAUGCAGCAGUGGGGAAUAUUGCACAAUGGAGGGAACUCUGAUGCCGCGACGCCGCGUGAACGAAGAAGGCUUUCGAGUCGUAAAGUUCUUUUAUAUGGGAAGCGGUACCAUAAGAAAAAGCCCCGGCUAACUACGUGCCAGCAGCCGCGGUAAUUC
rnacentral:rRNA from 1 species